UACGGGGGGAGCAAGCGUUGUUCGGAUUUACUGGGCGUAAAGGGCGGGUAGGCGGCCACCGCAAGUCAGUUGUGAAAUCUCUGGGCUUAACCCAGAAAGGUCAACUGAUACUGCGGGGCUAGAGUGCAGAAGGGGCAACUGGAAUUCUCGGUGAAGCGGUGAAAUGCGUAGAUAUCGAGAGGAACACCUGCGGCGAAGGCGGGUUGCUGGGCUGACACUGACGCUGAACUGCGAAAGCUAGGGGAGCGAACGGG
rnacentral:rRNA from 1 species